GUUUGAUCAUGGCUCAGGACGAACGCUGGCGGCGUGCUUAACACAUGCAAGUCGAACGAUGAACCACUUCGGUGGGGAUUAGUGGCGAACGGGUGAGUAACACGUGGGCAAUCUGCCCUGCACUCUGGGACAAGCCCUGGAAACGGGGUCUAAUACCGGAUACUGACCCUCGCAGGCAUCUGCGAGGUUCGAAAGCUCCGGCGGUGCAGGAUGAGCCCGCGGCCUAUCAGCUUGUUGGUGAGGUAAUGGCUCACCAAGGCGACGACGGGUAGCCGGCCUGAGAGGGCGACCGGCCACACUGGGACUGAGACACGGCCCAGACUCCUACGGGAGGCAGCAGUGGGGAAUAUUGCACAAUGGGCGAAAGCCUGAUGCAGCGACGCCGCGUGAGGGAUGACGGCCUUCGGGUUGUAAACCUCUNUCAGCAG
rnacentral:rRNA from 1 species